AACGAACGCUGGCGGCAUGCCUAACACAUGCAAGUCGAACGAGACCUUCGGGUCUAGUGGCGCACGGGUGCGUAACGCGUGGGAACCUGCCCUUAGGUUCGGAAUACCUCCCCGAAAGGGGUGCUAAUACCGGAUAAUGUCUUCGGACCAAAGAUUUAUCGCCUUUGGAUGGUCCAGCGUUGGAUUAGCUAGUUGGUAGGGUAAAAGCCGACCAAGGCGACGAUCCAUAGCUGGUCAGAGAGGAGGGUCAGCCACACUGGGACGGAGACACGGCCCGGACUCCUACGGGAGGCAGCAGUGGGGAAUGUUGGAAAAUGGGCGAAAGCCUGAUCCACCACUGCCGCUUGAGUGAUGAAGGCCUUAGGGUUGUAAAGCUCUUUUACCCGUGAUGAUAAUGACAGUACCGGGAGAAUAAGCCCCGGCUAACUCCGUG
rnacentral:rRNA from 1 species